rnacentral:tRNA from 1 species
ACCAGCCUGGCUCAGUCGGUGGAGCAUGUGACUCUUGAUCUCAGGGUUGUGAGUUCAAGCCUCAAGAUGGGUG